rnacentral:piRNA from 1 species
UGAAACGUGCCAGUCGUGCUUUGUGAAAA